rnacentral:rRNA from 1 species
AUUGAACGCUGGCGGCAGGCCUAACACAUGCAAGUCGAACGAGUGGCGGACGGGUGAGUAAUGUCUGGGAAACUGCCUGAUGGAGGGGGAUAACUACUGGAAACGGUAGCUAAUACCGCAACCCCUCAGAUGUGCCCAGAUGGGGUUCGAUUGUUGGUGGGGAAACGGCUCACCAAGGCGACGAGCCCUAGCUGGUCUGAGAGGAUGACCGGCCACACUGGAACUGAGACACGGUCCAGACUCCUACGGUAGGCAGCAGUGGGGAAUAUGGCACAAUGGGCGCAAGCCGGAUGCAGCCAUGCCGCGUGUAUGAAGAAGGCCUUCGGGGUGUAAAGUACUUUCAGCGGGGAGGCGUUACCCGCAGAAGAAGCACCGGCUAACUCCGUGCCAGCAGCCGCGGUAAUAC